CAGUUAUCAAAGUUAGAAAUGAAAGUUUAUAUUGAUCAAUUGAUUGAUUGAUUUGUUGAUUGAUGAGUGGAUUAAUUGUUAAGCAGUUAUCACAGGUAGAAAUGAAAGUUCAUAUUGAUCAAUUGAUUGAUUGAUUUGUUGAUUGAUGAGUCAAUUAUUCGUUAAGGAGGCUCGUGGUUAUAAAAAUUUAAAAAUUUUUUUUUUUCUUGUUUUCAUUACAAUUUUUUUUUACUUUAUUAGUUGUUACUUUAUUUAACAGCAAAAAUCAUUCCAAAAAGUCAAUUCGUUUUGACCCCAGAUGACUUUCAAAAUGUAUAUAUUAUCGAAAAAGCUCCAAAUUAUCUCCCUUAGGUGCAAAAAUGCAUUUUUUUUUGCAUUAAAAUUGAAAUAUCUUUUUUAACUCAUCAGUGACCUAUAUUUUUUUAUAAUUUUUUAAAUAAGCUGUACUUAAACUACUCUAUUGUAAAAUUUGGGUGAUUUCUGUAAUUACGUUCUUUUUUUAUUUCGAUAUUAUCUUUAUUUCUCCUAUUAGUUCAACAGAAAAAAAGUAAUUUUACAAAAAUGUAUGCUUCUCUCGAAGGCAGAUUGUGAGAUUAAAUGAACGGUGACCCCAUGUUUUUAUUCUAUAUUUCUAUUAAGUAUAAGAUGAAGUUCAUUUAUAGAAAAAUAUAGGGAAAUCCUAUAUAAGGAAAAAAAUUUGGUUUAUACCCGCGAGCCCCCUUAAGCAGUCAUCACAGGUAGAAAUGAAAGUUCAUAUUGAUCAAUUGAUUGAUUUUAUUUGUGGAGGAAGCAGGAGUAUCAACAGAUAUCCCUGAAAAAUAUGCCCAAUUACUGGUUGCUUGAUUGAUUGUUGGCGUUUAACACCACCUUCACACUUGGCUAUAUUAUAUGAUCAGUUUAAAUGGUGAAAAAGCACAAACAGAGACCAACCAAAAAUCUGUCAAAUUUUGAUUGAUUGAUUGUUGGGGUUUAAC
rnacentral:lncRNA from 1 species